rnacentral:rRNA from 1 species
UACAGAGGGUGCAAGCGUUAAUCGGAAUUACUGGGCGUAAAGGGUGCGUAGGUGGACGCAUAAGUCGGAUGUGAAAUCCCUGGGCUUAACCUAGGAACUGCGUUCGAUACUGUGAGUCUAGAGUAUGGUAGAGGUAAGUGGAAUUUCCGGUGUAGCGGUGAAAUGCGUAGAUAUCGGAAGGAACAUCAGUGGCGAAGGCGACUUACUGGACUGAUACUGACACUGAGGCACGAAAGCGUGGGGAGCAAACAGG